rnacentral:rRNA from 1 species
GUACACUCCUACGGGAGGCAGCAGUGGGGAAUUUUGGACAAUGGGCGAAAGCCUGAUCCAGCAAUGCCGCGUGCAGGAUGAAGGCCUUCGGGUUGUAAACUGCUUUUGUACGGAACGAAAAAGCUCCUUCUAAUACAGGGGGCCCAUGACGGUACCGUAAGAAUAAGCACCGGCUAACUACGUGCCAGCAGCCGCGGUAAUACGUAGGGUGCGAGCGUUAAUCGGAAUUACUGGGCGUAAAGCGUGCGCAGGCGGUUAUGUAAGACAGAUGUGAAAUCCCCGGGCUCAACCUGGGAACUGCAUUUGUGACUGCAUGGCUAGAGUACGGUAGAGGGGGAUGGAAUUCCGCGUGUAGCAGUGAAAUGCGUAGAUAUGCGGAGGAACACCGAUGGCGAAGGCAAUCCCCUGGACCUGUACUGACGCUCAUGCACGAAAGCGUGGGGAGCAAACAGGAUUAGAUACCCUGGUAGUCCCAUGAU